rnacentral:tRNA from 1 species
UGGGGUAUAGCUCAGUGAUAGAGCACCUGUUUAGCAUGCAUGAGGUCCUGGGUUCAAUCCCCAAUACCUCCA